AUUGAACGCUGGCGGCAUGCUUUACACAUGCAAGUCGAACGGUAACAGGCCGCAAGGUGCUGACGAGUGGCGAACGGGUGAGUAAUGCAUCGGAACGUGCCCAGUCGUGGGGGAUAACGCAGCGAAAGCUGUGCUAAUACCGCAUACGAUCUGUGGAUGAAAGCGGGGGACCGAAAGGCCUCGCGCGAUUGGAGCGGCCGAUGUCAGAGUAGGUAGUUGGUGGGGUAAAGGCACACCAAGCCAACGAUCUGUAGCUGGUCUGAGAGGACGACCAGGCACACUGGGAUGGGGACAGGGCCCAGUCUCCUACGGGAGGCAGCAGUAGGGAAUUUUGGACAAUGGGCGCAAGCCUGAUUCAGCAAUGCCGCGUGCAGGAAGAAGGCCUUCGGGUUGUAAACUGCUUUUGUACGGAGCGAAAAGGCUCUCUCUAAUACAGGGGGCUCAUGACGGUACCGUAAGAAUAAGCACCGGCUAACUACGUGCCAGCCGCCGCAGUAACAC
rnacentral:rRNA from 1 species